ensembl:lncRNA
AAACCCCAAACUGCUUAAAUAUAUACCAAGUAAUCCAGGAAGACAUCAUACGUGGUUUGUAUGACCAGUAGUUCUCUAGUACAGAGCAUGUUAAGAUUUGCCCCAGCCUGAUUCUGUGAGGUUUCUACAGCACUCAGUAAUGUUCUGAGUAUAAAGUCUGAACUGAUUACUCUGGAAAUAUUCUAACAAAAGAUAUUUUAGUCAGAGAGCUAUGUUCCCCUUCCAGUGUCUAGAACCUUUUCUAAGCCUGUAAGUCACCUUUUGCUGUCAUCAGCUGUUGUCCUGGAGUGUGCCAGUUUUCAUUUAUUCAUCCUAAUAAUAGUCAAUGUGUUCUUCUUUUUAGAUGUUUUUCUUGUUUAGAAUAAAAGGAAUAAUUUUUCAAGAACCAUACAUCUCUGAUUUGGCCUAAGGUCAAAUUGGAUAUUGGGUACUCUACUCCAGGGCAGAUUUCAAAAGUGAUACACUUGUCUUUUCAGAUCUGUAUUGUUUUGAAAUGUUUCCAAAGGCCUAAGAUAAUUUCAACAGAAGUGUCACUCGUGAAAAGAAACGUGGUGUAGCCCUUGUGGUAAUAACACAAAUUGACUUGAGUCAGAGGUUAAGACAGUUACAGUUAUCUCGCCUCCGGGCUGGAAGAGGCAUGAAAACAGGGCAAGCAGAACCUGAUUCUCUGGGGUCCUGUAUGAACCCACAGGGCAUGGGAAGGAUCGUUCCAUAAAGAAAGCCUGUAUGGACGGCUUUUGCAAAGAGUUAGAUGUAAUACUGUAAUUUUAGGUUCUGCUCUGUACUUCCUUUCAGUGGAAUUAUUUAAGCUCUUUAGUGACCUUUGUUUUUCCCACUUAAAAACUAAAAUGUAGCAUAUGUUGUAUAAAAUGAAAAUAUUAAUGACUUAGGGAGAUUGUACAUAAGGCAUUGACAGGUUAAAAAAAAGCAUUUUUAUUAUGCAAUUGUAAAACACCAAAAAUAUAGAUUCAUCUUUGAUAUGUAACACACUAAAUGUAUUUUGUACAGCAUCUGAUUUAAAAGGUGCCUUAUUAAGUUUACCAUUAAUUGCUUUGUUCUAUAUACAGAUUAUGUCCAAUGUAUCAUUUUUCAGUAAAUAACCUUAUUUUAGUAUACUUCAGCGAUGUGUUUUGUGAUACUGUUCUUGGAUUUAUCGUGUUUCAGAAGUUAACUGUUGAGAUUUUAUAAGUAAUUUAGCGUACAGUCGUACAUUCCCGAGCAUGCAUUUCAGCUCUGGAAACCUGGCAGGAGCAUGGCCAGGUAAGUGCCCCAUGCUUGUCCUUUAUGUAGAUGUUGAACCUACCUUAAUGAGGGGGUUUUUUUCCUUCUAUACAAAGAAAAAAAACAACAUCGUUUUCUGAUUAUAAAAAUGUGUGUUUAUGACAGAACAUUGGGAAACAGGAAAAGCAUAAGCAAAUAAACUACUCCAUUUU